AGUGAACGCUGGCGGUAGGCCUAACACAUGCAAGUCGAACGGCAGCACAGUAAGCGCUUGCUCUUACGGGUGGCGAGUGGCGGACGGGUGAGGAAUACAUCGGAAUCUACUUUUUCGUGGGGGAUAACGUAGGGAAACUUACGCUAAUACCGCAUACGACCUACGGGUGAAAUCAGGGGAUCUUCGGACCUUGCGCGAUUGAAUGAGCCGAUGUCGGAUUAGCUAGUUGGCGAGGUAAAGGCCCACCAAGGCGACGAUCCGUAGCUGGUCUGAGAGGAUGAUCAGCCACACUGGAACUGAGACACGGUCCAGACUCCUACGGGAGGCAGCAGUGGGGAAUAUUGGACAAUGGGCGCAGGCCUGAUCCAGCAAUACCGCGUGGGUGAAGAAGGCCUUCGGGUUGUAAAGCCCUUUUGUUGGGAAAGAAAAGCAGCAGGUUAAUACCCCGAUGUUCUGACGGUACCCAAAGAAUAAGCACCGGCUAACUUCGUG
rnacentral:rRNA from 1 species